rnacentral:tRNA from 1 species
UCCCGUGUGGCUCAGUUGGUAGAGCAUGGUGUUUGCAACUCCAGGGUUGUGGGUUCGAUUCCCACAGGGGAC